CGGCGGACGGGUGAGUAACGCGUAGGAAUCUACCUGGUAGUGGGGGACAACUUGGGGAAACUCAAGCUAAUACCGCAUACGCCCUAAGGGGGAAAGUGGGGGAUCUUCGGACCUCACGCUAUCGGAUGAGCCUGCGUAGGAUUAGCUAGUUGGUGAGGUAAAGGCUCACCAAGGCGACGAUCCUUAGCUGGUCUGAGAGGAUGAUCAGCCACACUGGGACUGAGACACGGCCCAG
rnacentral:rRNA from 1 species